CGGAACUUUUUUUCGUGUUAUUGGUGUGUGCUUUCAAAAUGAGUAAUAAAUUUAGUCGGCGAGAGGAAGCGAUUUAUGUUUCGCCGAAUUCAAUAUAUAUUUAGAUUAUUGCGGGCUGGGUAUGGAGUGUAAAUUUGAAAUAAAAUGAGUUUUUUUUUAUUUUUCAUAAAAUUUGACCUACCUUUUUUCUGCCUCGAGCUAGUAGUAAUGAGACACACGCGCAGGCCUUCACCGUCCUCGGCUCCUUUUGGUAGGUUAACACGAGAGAUUUCGACUAGCUUCUACAACUCAAUACAUUUGUAUAAACUUAUUUAACCACCUUCCAAUAUGAUAAGAAUUUUGCAAUAAUAAAGAAUGUAUACCUUCGUAAA